GCGAGCGUAGUUCAAUGGUAGAACGCCAGCUUCCCAAGCUGGCAGCGUGGGUUCGAUUCCCAUCGCUCGCU
rnacentral:tRNA from 1 species